rnacentral:rRNA from 1 species
AUGGCUUCCCUUACUAUGCUUGUUGGUUGGGCCAUUUGGAACGAGAGAAAUGCUAGAGUUUUUAGGAAGAAAUCAACACCGCCCUUCUACAUUCUAAAACUAAUCCAAGAUGAAGCCAAACUUUGGGCCACGGCAGGAGCCACGCACCUAAGCAUUAUCAUGCUGCGAGAGUAG